ACUGCUUCUUGGCCUUUUGGCUGAGACCCAGCAUAGUAACUGUCCUUGCCUGUUUAGGAGGCUGUGUUCUCUGCCCAAGAACAACAUACAAAACAAAUUCCUGAAGCAGGGAUAUGGAAGCUUGUUACAUCAACUUCACACAUCAGCCUGGCACUGUGGAACCUGAGGAACAAUGCAGCCCUU